AUUUAACGCUAGCGGGAUGCCUUACACAUGCAAGUCGAACGGAGUGGCGAACGGGUGAGUAAUGUAUCGGAACGUGCCCAGUAGCGGGGGAUAACUACGCGAAAGCGUAGCUAAUACCGCAUACUAUUGGAGCGGCAGAUAUCGGAUUAGCAAGAUGGUGGGGUAACGGCUCAACAAGUCGACGAUCCGUAGCUGGUGUGAGAGGACGACCAGCCACCAGGGGACGUGGAAAAGGUCCAGAUUCCUACGGGAGGCAGCAGUGGGGACUGUGGGACAAUGGGGGAAACCCUGAUCCAGCCAUCCGGGGUGUGCGAUGAAGGCCUUCGGGUUGUAAAGCACUUGUGGCAGGAAAGCGGUACCUGCAGAAUAAGCACCGGCUAACUACGUGCCAGCCGCCGCGGUAAUUC
rnacentral:rRNA from 1 species